AAUAGGUUAACCAGCAGCACACUUCUCUUCUGGGUGGCCGUCCGUUUGGUAGUUCCAUUCGACAAAAAACAGACAUUCCCUUAAACAAAGCAUACGAAUGAGGGUAUUCAUGCAAACGGCAAAACAGACGAACACAGUGCUUUUAGUACAUACAGAUGGGUCUGUCACAGAAUAGCAGUUAGUUUUCUCAAAGCGGGUGUGUCAGGCUCACAGUGGAUACUGUGCCCA